rnacentral:tRNA from 1 species
GGAGGCGUGCGCGAGUGGUUGAUACGGCCGGUCUCGAAAACCGGUAUACCGUUUACGGUAUCGAGGGUUCGAAUCCUUCCGCCUCCGCCA